rnacentral:rRNA from 1 species
AGUGGCGGACGGGUGAGUAACACGUAAGAAUUACCUUUAGGAGGGGGAUAACAACUGGAAACGGUUGCUAAUACCCCAUAUGCUUUCGAGUGAAAUGGAUUUUCUGCCUAAAGAGAAGCUUGCGGCUGAUUAGCUUGUUGGUGAGGUAAUGGCUUACCAAGGCGACGAUCAGUAUCUGGUUUGAGAGGAUGAUCAGACACACUGGAACUGAGACACGGUCCAGACUUCUACGGGAGGCAGCAGUGGGGAAUUUUCCGCAAUGGGCGAAAGCCUGACGGAGCAAUCUCGCGUGAGGGAUGACGGCCUAUGGGUUGUAAACCUCUUUUUCAGGUAGGAAUCAAAUGACGUGUACCUGAAGAAUAAGCAUCGGCUAACUCCGUGCCAGCAGCCGCGGUAAGACGGAGGAUGCAAGUGUUAUCCGGAAUCACUGGGCGUAAAGCGUCUGUAGGUGGUUUAGUAAGUCAACUGUUAAAUCUUGAAGCUCAACUUCAAAAUCGCAGUCGAAACUAUUAGACUAGAGUAUAGUAGGGGUAAAGGGAAUUUCCAGUGGAGCGGUGAAAUGCGUAGAGAUUGGAAAGAACACCGAUGGCGAAGGCACUUUACUGGGCUAUUACUGACACUCAGAGACGAAAGCUAGGGUAGCAAAUGGGAUUAGAUACCCAGUAGUCCUAGCCGUAAACAAUGGAUACUAGAUGUUGGACAGAUCGACCUGUGCAGUAUUAAAGCUAACGCGUUAAGUAUCCC